GACGAACGCUGGCGGCGUGCUUAACACAUGCAAGUCGAACGGAAAGGCCCUGCUUUUGUGGGGUGCUCGAGUGGCGAACGGGUGAGUAACACGUGAGUAACCUGCCCUUGACUUUGGGAUAACUUCAGGAAACUGGGGCUAAUACCGGAUAGGAGCUCCUGCUGCAUGGUGGGGGUUGGAAAGUUUCGGCGGUUGGGGAUGGACUCGCGGCUUAUCAGCUUGUUGGUGGGGUAGUGGCUUACCAAGGCUUUGACGGGUAGCCGGCCUGAGAGGGUGACCGGCCACAUUGGGACUGAGAUACGGCCCAGACUCCAACGGGAGGCAGCAGUGGGGAAUAUGGCACAAUGGGCGGAAGCCUGAUGCAGCAACGCCGCGUGCGGGAUGACGGCCUUCGGGUUGUAAACCGCUUUCGCCUGUGACGAAGCGUGAGUGACGGUAAUGGGUAAAGAAGCACCGGCUAACUACGUG
rnacentral:rRNA from 1 species